rnacentral:rRNA from 1 species
UACGUAGGGUGCAAGCGUUAAUCGGAAUUACUGGGCGUAAAGCGUGCGCAGGCGGUUUUGUAAGUCUGUCGUGAAAUCCCCGGGCUCAACCUGGGAAUUGCGAUGGAGACUGCAAGGCUAGAAUCUGGCAGAGGGGGGUAGAAUUCCACGUGUAGCAGUGAAAUGCGUAGAGAUGUGGAGGAACACCGAUGGCGAAGGCAGCCCCCUGGGGUCAAGAUUGACGCUCAUGCA